rnacentral:rRNA from 1 species
GAUGAACGCUGGCGGCGUGCCUAAUACAUGCAAGUCGAGCGCAGCGGGGACGGGUGAGUAACACGUGGAUAACCUCCUAUAAGACUGGGAUAACUUCGGGAAACCGGAGCUAAACCGGAUACUUAUAGAUGGAUCCGGGCGGCAUUAGCUAGUUGGUAAGGUAACGGCUUACCAGGGCAACGAUGCAUAGCCGACCUGUGUGGGUGAUCGACCAAACUGGAACACAGACACGGUCAAGAGUCAUACGGGAGGCAGCAAGAGGGAAUGUGCCGCAAGGGGCGAAAGCCGGAAGGAGCAACGCGGCAUGAGUAAGGAAGGUCUUCGGAACGUAAUACACUGUUAGUAGAGUGGCGGUACCGAAGCGGAAAGCCACGGCUAACUACGUGCCAGGAGCCGCGGUAAUAC